rnacentral:rRNA from 1 species
GAUGAACGCUGGCGGCGUGCCUAAUACAUGCAAGUCGAGCGAACGGACGAGAAGCUUGCUUCUCUGAUGUUAGCGGCGGACGGGGGAGUAACACGUGGAUAACCUACCUAUACGACUGGGAUAACUUCGGGACACCGUAGCUAAUACCGGAUAAUAUUUUGACCCGCAUGGUUCAAGAGUGAAAGACGGUCUUGCUGUCACUUAUAGAUGGAUCCGCGCUGCAUUAGCUAGUUGGUAGGGUAACGGCUUACCAAGGCAACGAUGCAUAGCCGACCUGAGAGGGUGAUCGGCCACACUGGAACUGAGACACGGUCGAGACUCCGACGGGAGGCAGCAGUAGGGAAUCUUACGCAAUGGGGGAGAGCCUGACAGAGCAACGCCGCGGGAGUGAUGAAGGUCUUCGGAUCGUAAAACUCUGUUAUUAGGGAAGAACAUAUGUGUAAGUAACUGUGCACAUCUUGACGGUACCUAAUCAGAAAGCCACGGCUAACUACGUG